rnacentral:snRNA from 1 species
AUACUGAUUUGAACGGGGUCAAUGGAUGAUCAACUAGACUCAUGGCCUAGAUCAAUGACGAUCCACAUUGGUAGAUGCGUUGGUCUACCAUCCCCUCAAUUUGAAUUUGGAGAAUGGAUGUCAUAAUUUAUGGUAGAGAGGUAUGUGUUUGCACGGCCUCUA